CCUGGCGGCACUAGCGCGGUGGUCCCACCUGACCCCAUGCCGAACUCAGAAGUGAAACGUCGUAGCGCCGAUGGUAGUGUGGG
rnacentral:rRNA from 1 species